CGAGCCAAUCGAGAGAGGAGGAACUGCGAGGGCCGACCACAAGUGCCUCUAAAAUGAGAGAAAUACUUAAAGAAAUCUUACCGCUAACAUGGCCGAAGAUGAAAUAGAUCGCCGAAACAACGAAACCGGAAGCAAUUGCAGUCGCAAGGAUGGACAGGCCGCUUCCUGAUACCGCAGUAGAAGAAGCUGCACCGGAUACAGCAAAUACAAAUAAAAAAGUAGCCACGCACUCUACUAAAACUGCCUUCCAAAGUUCCAAACUUCGCGCCUCGGUCGACAUUGGUAUCCUUUUUCAAGAUGGAAUCUUUUUAGAGGAAUAGGGAUAAAGGUGGCCGAUGUUACCACAACGGGAACAUGUUCUCGAGUGACAAGCCGAUCC